ACACUCACCACUUUGAUUCCAACAGCGAAGUCGAAGUCGUGGUCAGGAGUAAGACUGAGCUGGGUAGAGAUAGUAAGCCAACAUGAUGUGUCUUCUAGGGGCAUGAGAGAUGGAGAAAGAAAGCCUCAGCUACCAUGAGACUUUGUUCAGUGCUAUGAUCUGAAUGUGUUUCUGCCAAAUUCCUAUGCUGAAAUCCUAACUCCCAAGAAGAUGGUACUACAAGAUGAUUGGAAGGUGAUUAGGUCAUGAAGGCUCUGCCCUUAUGGGAUUAGUGCCCUCAUAAAAGGGGCACCAGAGAGCUAACUGCCUUACCCUUUCUCCAUGUGAGGACGGAAUGAGAGGGCGCCCUCAUCCAAACACUGAAUCUGCUGGUGCCUUGAUUUUGGACUCUACAGCCUUCAGAACUGUGAUAAAUAAAUUUCUGUUUUUUAUAAA